rnacentral:sRNA from 1 species
AGGCCUAGACCGGGGAGUCGGAAC